UACGUAGGGGGCAAGCGUUGUUCGGAAUUACUGGGCGUAAAGGGCGUGUAGGCGGUGCGGUAUGUUGGACGUGAAAUCCCCGGGCUCAACUCGGGGCGGUCGUUCAAAACUGCCGUGCUAGAGUGUGGGAGAGGGAAGUGGAAUUCCCGGUGUAGCGGUGAAAUGCGCAGAUAUCAGGAGGAACACCAGUGGCGAAGGCGACUUCCUGGCCUGUUCUUGACGCUGAGGCGCGAAAGCUAGGGUAGCAAACGGG
rnacentral:rRNA from 1 species